rnacentral:rRNA from 1 species
UACGGGGGGGGCAAGCGUUGUUCGGAAUUACUGGGCGUAAAGCGCACGUAGGCGGAUUUUUAAGUCAGGGGUGAAAUCCCAGAGCUCAACUCUGGAACUGCCUUUGAUACUGGGUACCUUGAGUAUGGAAGAGGUGAGUGGAAUUCCGAGUGUAGAGGUGAAAUUCGUAGAUAUUCGGAGGAACACCAGUGGCGAAGGCGGCUCACUGGUCCAUUACUGACGCUGAGGUGCGAAAGCGUGGGGAGCAAACAGG